UAGUUUCUGGCGAAUGUUGCGGACACUGCGGUGGGCCAGGGCUUGAUGACAUUUGUUGCCCAGCUGCUGGUGCUACCGCGACGUACUUGGAGCAACGCUUCUGCUUAUUUCCUCUGCCUGCACCUUAUAUUUGUUGUGUUUAUUGAGACCUGGCCUGUCUCUGCCUCGUUGAAGACAAAUGGACACAAGUACUGGUCGCUGUUGGUUUGUUUGGUUUGCUCAGUCUGAGCGUGAUCUAUUUGUGAACUUCCCAAGCCACUUCACAACUGCAAGCUGAAUCUGAUGUAUGCUGUCUCAGGGUCAUGACCUAUAUUUGGGGGAAGACUAAGAAUGCAGCCUGUGACUGAAGUUUCAGUGUUUUGAGCCCACCAUUUCGAAAUGCUUUUUAUGUGCACUCAGUAGGAGACAGUUCUCCAAGCUUCUUGAUAUGAUUUUCAGUGAUACUAGAAGCAAAGCUUAUUAGUUGUAUUAUACUAAAUUUUCAUAUUUUCUCUAAUAUACUGUGGUCGCGAUAACACCACACUGCUUAAAAGGCAUAGAAAAUAAAAAAGCUACUUAUUUGCCCUAGUAUAAUGUAGAAAUCGGCAUUCUGCAGUCUGAAAAGUGAAAACAAAAACAUUAUCGUUGCAACAUUCACAACCACUUUAGCUGCUCAUAAAAUCAUUGAUGUACAUGUAAAGAGCCUCUAUGUUGUGUCUGUUAAAAACAUGCUCCAUCAUGCUGCAGCAUUAUGCACAUUAGCUUUGUGUAGAAGCCACAGCAGUUGCAAUGUGCUGCACCGCAAUGCACCUUGGUUAUGUGGAAAAGCUACCAUUGUUGCUAUGCUCUUUACUGUUAUACACGUCAACCUUGUGGCAAAGCCACUGCACUUGCAAUGUGCUGCACCUCAAAACGUUUCAGGUAUGUGGGAAUGCACACUUGCAUGCGCUAGAUUUGGGCAUUUUUAAUGCAAAUAAUUAUUUUUUCAUACCAAGCACUUUGCAGUAGGCAAUUUUACGUCCCGACUCGUUUCGGUCUUCUGCAUUGAAAACAAAAAUAUGUUACAGUGACCCCGAACCUGUUUCCCAGCAUAACAACCUGACACUCUAGCCAUUUGACCACUGUCGUGCACAUACUUCUUGCUCUCCAAUGCAUUGCUGUGUGUAUGGGAUAGUGGCACGUGUAUAACAGUGCAUAAUACAUGUCAGAGCAUGUGUGCAUAUACAAGUUGCUUAUCAAACUGUGAGCAUGUCAGUUUCUCCCAUUCUUCCUUUGUAGCUGGACUUCGAGGUGCUUUGUUAGAAUGCACCACCUUCGGGAUUCGCUCACAUUUCCAAGUCCCCCUCACUGUAGCAGCUAGCACAACAUGGACACUGUACCUUUAUGCUGUAAUGUUUCUUCACUGGAGUACAAAAAGGAAUUGUGUAGAUCCAACAUACAUGUUAAAAGUGGUUAAUGAGAAUCUAUGAAACAUUCAUAUUUAAUGCAUUGUUGCAAUCCAAAUGAUGGAAAGCGUAUUUGCGUUGGCAAGCUAGCAGUAGCAGAUGUCACAGGCAUGUUAUGCAGGGAAGCCACCUUAUCACCUAUAGCUGUUCUCUGUGCAGUGAGGAUGAAGGUGACAUGUGCUUGUUUAGUGAAGAACGUUGACAAGAGGUGUAUGCACAGAGACAUAUGACACUUAUCUUAAUACUACAUGUAAGGCUUGUAUACUUGUGUCGCAGCGACACAUACCUAUUCUAUGAGAUGGGCCUAGAAUAGGCACGUGCCCAUUUGCGCAUACUGCAUAAGCCAAGUUUUCCACUCGUCAAAACAGCUGCCACAACAGUGUUAGGAAAGAGGCAAAGAAACCAUGCCUUUGCAUUCAUACUCUCCUCACAAAGCUUGUGUCAUAUAUGCAAUCACUCGCCAUACACAAACACAUUGGUCAACACUGCAAUGUUUGGAAGAACCCAAACCAACGCUACAUAGCCAUUUACCUGCAACAUAAAUCCCGACUGUGUCUGGAAUCUACAUAAUGUUUCUUAAUUUUUCAGGCAUUUGGUGGUAGAGGCCAGCGCAUUAGACAGAAAUCCUUCUUGACUGCAGCAAUGUUCAGAAUGUAGUAUGAGGUACUCUGUCUAGCUGGAAGUUGAAGAUGGAAGUUAUAUUAGUAGUUAAAAUAUAGUAGCUAGUACUGAAACUACACAUGCAAUCAAGGCUGAGCCACAUGCAAACACGGAAGAGCAGACACACACGGUGGUCACUUGAGCUGGCAUUGUGUAGCUUUACCAACAAGCCCAGCUGGACACUGAAGUAAGGCAUGUUGUUGGGUUAGUCAGCUUGUAGCUUCAGCAAAAUUUUAAACUGUGUGAGGAAGACAGGACAUGAACAAAAGCAUAGAUGCAUGCGCAAAGUAUAGACUUCCGACUGGCUUUGUUUGGUGAAGGCAGAGAGUUUAUAAGGUUCUUCAAAAUGGCAAAACAAAAAACAUUCGCAAAGAAAUUGUGCAAGAGGCAGAUAUGAAAAAUAGCAAGGCCACCUGUGCAUUAAGAGUGCAGUAGAGUCCCAAGGUGCCCAUCUAAGAAUUCUAUUUCUUUCCUUGAUAGGUAUCAAGAAGGUGAGCUAACUUAGUUCUCACAAAUUUUAGCGAUGUGGAAUGCUUUGAUGACUUCUCUUUCUGCUUUUGAGCUUGCCUUCGAAAGGAAUUUAUUCUGUUCCAGAUGAGGCAGGCAGCUUUUGCUUUCGCAGCUCCUGCACUGCAAGAGGAGAUUCUCAAGGAAAUAAUUGCCUGCAUGUAAAAGAAGUUUCUGGAAGUUA